CUGGAUCGAGCCUCACUCACAUUCUGCCUUCCUCCAGGGACCCCAGGACUCCCUUUGCAGGGGAACCUGCUCAGAGGAAGCCAGCCCCACACCCACCCGAGAGGGAGUCGAUGGAACAUCAGCAGCAUCCUGCAGGACCGCAAGGGGAGGGAAGGAGGGGCACUCCCACCCGACCCGAGCUCCACCUCCUCCUGGCUCGGGAAGAGGCUCUCCUGGGUGCGACACCAAAGCUGGAAGGUCUUCCUGUCCCCUCCUGGCCCCCACCUCCCUUUGUGUGUUUUGUUUCAGACACACCCUCAGCUCAGAUUUGCUUUGAAGCCUUCAGAAGAUAAUUAUUCGGAAAAGAAGUGUUGGUCUUGUGGCUUCGUUUAUUAGAGACACAGCAGCUUUCCUGGGCCGACAAGGGAGAUAAAUUCCGUAAUGGGAGCUGCGGCCCUGCUCUCCUGUCCUGGUGGAGCUUUGGCUGAUGGAAAGGAUUCAGUUGCCUGUCUGAACAGUGACUACCAUGAACUCUACAUGCUGUCUACUUCUAACCCUCUUUGGCCUGACUCCAGCUUCAACACCUGGAAACAUGGCAAAAAGAACAGGGGGACAUUGGCUUGGACUGGAGCCACGUGUCAGAGUUUGACUCAAGGAUAGUUGAUGUAGAAUGAAGAGAAUGAGCAGGGAACAAGAGGUAUAAAUGUGCAUGAUGUUUAUUCAUUCAACAAACAUCAUUU
rnacentral:lncRNA from 10 species